rnacentral:rRNA from 1 species
UACGAAGGGGGCGAGCGUUGUUCGGAUUUACUGGGCGUAAAGGGCGCGCAGGCGGCCAUUCAAGUCAGGCGUGAAAGCCCCGGGCUUAACCUGGGAGGUGCGUCUGGACUGGGUGGCUAGAGAUCGGGAGAGGAGAGUGGAAUUCCCAGUGUAGAGGUGAAAUUCGUAGAUAUUGGGAAGAACACCGGUGGCGAAGGCGGCUCUCUGGACCGAUACUGACGCUGAGGCGCGAAAGCGUGGGGAGCAAACAGG